UGGGGGGGUGGCGUGAGUCCUGUUACCUGGGCACUUGGGGCAGUGGGGGCGGCCAGGCGGGGAAUCUGUGCCCGCGCGACACCCACAUCCACGACGCUGCGGUUUGUGUUACGGGGCAUCUUGGGCGCGUGUGGGUGUUAGCUUACGGGAGGCGAGGGUCGGGCGGGGCUGCGGGCGGGGCCGAGCUCCGAACUGUGGAGUGUGGAAGUGGGCGCCAAGCCAGUGUGCUCUUGGCCGCCGGUGGAGGAGGAUUCAUGGCACACAGGUAAACGAGGAACAAAACGAGAGCCAGAUCGGGUUCCCAGUGGGCAGAGUUCGCGCGUGUGCGUGUGUGCGUGUGCAUGCGAGGAGCCGCCGGCAUGAACCCAAGCCGUGCCCGCGGCGCCUGAGGGAGAGGGUGCCAGGCGGCGAGGCACUCGGCUGAAGAAGGGAGGCUGGCACUGACCCCUGCCCCGCGCCACCCCGCCCCGCCCCGCACGCCGCCGCCAUGCCCCACAUGGUCGGCUCCUCGGCCACGCUGCCCGCGCGCUCCCGCCGCCGCAGCAGGAGCUCGGGCCGGAAGCUCUCGCAGUGCCUCUCCCCUCCGGCCGCCGACUUCUCCGAUGCCGAAAAUACAGGUGAGUGAAAGCGAGGCGACAGGUGAGGUGAGGCUGGGAGACGAUGCUGCUCAGGUAAAGUGCAGAUACAUCCUCAUUUGGGCAUCUCUUUCACUGGUAAACUAUUGAAAAACUUUCCUAUUGCUUUAUUCUUCCUUCCUACGACUUCAACUCUCUAGAAAGGGGAGUAUCAGGACAUCUCAGCUGAUUCAGGAGGUGUUUCUGGAGGGAGGGAAGGAUAAAGAACAAGAGAGGCAGGAAGAAGGAAAGGAUAGAAAAAGAAAGAAAAAGAAAAAGUGAAUGAAUGGAUGAAUGAAUGAGGGAAGGAAGAAAAGGCAGGGAAGAGAGAGUGAGGAGGAAGAGAUUAGGGAGAGAGUGAAUAUAUGAAACAGCAGCCGCGGCAGAUCAGACAGGAGGGAGAGGACUUGUGGCGUCAGGUGUAGGUGAAGGUGACAGGUGGGGAGAGCACGUGACAGGUGAGGGAGGGAGGAGGGGGGCGGGGGGGGCGACACUGCCAGACUCGUACAGGCACCCGCAGCCGCCCCCCACACACCUGCGGUUACCGACCUUCCCUCGCAGGUGCAACGCUAAUUAAGAGACGACGAGGUGUUCCAUUAUGCUCCCGUGUUGCAUCAGUCCGCCUGUGUCUGUGCGUGAUGGCGGCUGCAAUGAUAAUGAUAAUAAUAAUAAUAAUAAUAAUAAUAAUAAUAAUAAUAAUAAUAAUAAUAAUAAUAAUAAUGAAAAUGAUAGUUAUAGUAGUAAUGGUAAUAGUAGGAAGUGGAGGAGGAAGAAGAAGAAGAAGAAGAAGAAGAAGAAGAAGAAGAAGAAGAAGAAGAAGAAGAGAGGAGGAGUAGGUGUAUUAAAUCUAAACCUGAAAUGUCAUAAAACAGUAAAGGAAAAAAAAAAUGUCCAUCAACUAACCAAUCACAAAAUUUUUUUCGACGUUGACCUUUUGUGUUACCAGCAUAUUUUAAUUACGAGUAAAGAACCAGAAAUGGACGUGGGCGGGUCAUCAUAUUAUGCGCGAAAUUAAAAAAAAAAAUAAUAAUAAAAAAUAAAAAUAAAUAAAUAAAUAAAAUAAAAUAAAACGAAUAGAAGAUAGAACACCAAAGUAACAUCGGAGAGGCAACCCAGAAAUUAUAUAC